rnacentral:lncRNA from 1 species
UUGUUGCUCUUUCCAUUUUUGUCUUUUUGCAUUUCUUUUCUUUGUUCCAUUUGGGUGCUGCAAUACAUCUAUAUUUUGGGUGCCAAGAUUUUGAUGACUGCCGACAAGUUUUUGUUUUCAGUAAUUUGGCCACUUUGAUCAUUAUGCGCCUCCUAUAAUCUGGCUAUUCUAAGAACUGGACAGAUUGAAUUUUGCGUUGAUCUUGGACAUUGUACUUAACAUUCUGAGUUCUACUUAAAUUUCUACCUUUUAACUAGACUUUUACACGUGAGUCAAUUUUUUAUAAUAUGGUCUUCGAGCAGCUUAUCGUGCACUUCGAUUGUUAUCCAAUGUUAUCUCUGUUAACACAGGUACCGGGUGACUCUGUCCUUCAGAGCUUAGCCAAAAUAAAUCACCUCUAUAUUUUUGUCUUUGAUGAGAGUUUGACCCUAGUCUCCCAUAGUGUUGUCUUUCAGACCAUUUUAUUGACGGCUAGAUCACACAUUUGGGUGCUGGACUGUUUUGUCAAACCUUUGUUUUUUGCACUGUUGUGCUUUAUAUGCAGUUGCUUUUCUCAUUUUUCUGUAAGCGGUGCUUAUUGACUGAUAUUGCAGGUUGAGUGUACAAUACCAAAGGACGACGGCUCAUUGGCAACUUUUAUUGGAUUCAGGGUACAACACGACAAUGCUCGAGGCCCCAUGAAAGGAGGAAUCAGAUACCAUCCUGAGGUUAGUUGUUCAACUUGACUGAAUUACACAGAAUGGCAAGAUUGGUCGAGUUUCUUUAAUUCAAGAUCAUGUUUUUGAUUAAUGUAACAAUGUCUGAUACUGAUUCAAAUGGUUGUGAGUAAUAUAGGUAGAUCCGGAUGAGGUGAAUGCCUUAGCACAGCUAAUGACAUGGAAAACAGCAGUUGCCAAUAUACCAUAUGGAGGGGCUAAAGGAGGAAUAGGGUGUAGUCCCAGUGACUUAAGCAUCUCUGAGCUAGAGCGACUUACUCGAGUAUUUACACAAAAGAUACAUGACCUUAUUGGAAUUCAUACAGAUGUUCCAGCACCUGACAUGGGAACAAAUCCACAGACAAUGGCGUGGAUUCUAGACGAGUACUCAAAGUUUCAUGGCUAUUCACCUGCAGUGGUAACUGGAAAACCUAUUGAUCUUGGUGUAUAUAUAUGUCUCAGGCAUAGCAUUUUAUCGGACAGGAGAAAGUGUCAUUUCCCUUUAAGGUUUUGGCAUGCUACGGAUGGAUCUAACUGAAGUGUUGCUUUACGCAGACAAUGGCGUGGAUUCUAGACGAGUACUCAAAGUUUCAUGGCUAUUCACCUGCAGUGGUAACUGGAAAACCUAUUGUAAGUAUGAAUAACAUUCUGAUUUCUGAUUGACAAUCCUUUACACUCCAUAGUUCAUUUUACACGAUCCGAGUAAUGUAAAUAAACUUUCAGUUUGAUGAUAACCUAUUCUCAUGGUCUGUAUUUUCUAGCUUGACUCAUAAUUAUGCAAUCUUUGUAUUGGUUUAACUUGAGAAAUUCAACAUUUUGACAACAGGAUC